GACGAACGCUGGCGGCGUGCCUAAUACAUGCAAGUGGGACGCAAGGGAACACACUGUGCUUGCACACCGUGUUUUCUUGAGUCGCGAACGGGUGAGUAACGCGUAGGUAACCUGCCUAUUAGCGGGGGAUAACUAUUGGAAACGAUAGCUAAUACCGCAUAAUAUUAAUUAUUGCAUGAUAAUUGAUUGAAAGAUGCAAGCGCAUCACUAGUAGAUGGACCUGCGUUGUAUUAGCUAGUUGGUAAGGUAAGAGCUUACCAAGGCGACGAUACAUAGCCGACCUGAGAGGGUGAUCGGCCACACUGGGACUGAGACACGGCCCAGACUCCUACGGGAGGCAGCAGUAGGGAAUCUUCGGCAAUGGACGAAAGUCUGACCGAGCAACGCCGCGUGAGUGAAGAAGGUUUUCGGAUCGUAAAGCUCUGUUGUAAGUCAAGAACGUGUGUGAGAGUGGAAAGUUCACACAGGAC
rnacentral:rRNA from 1 species